rnacentral:rRNA from 1 species
CCUACGGGUGGCAGCAGUGGGGAAUAUUGGACAAUGGGGGGAACCCUGAUCCAGCGACGCCGCGUGAGUGAAGAAGUAUUUCGGUAUGUAAAGCUCUAUCAGCAGGGAAGAAAGACAUGACGGUCCCUGACUAAUAAGCCCCGGCUACCUACGUGCCAGGAGCCGCGGUAAUACGUAGGGGGCAAGCGUUAUCCGGAUUUACUGGGUGUAAAGGGAGCGUAGACGGCAGUGCAAGUCUGGAGUGAAAGGCGGGGGCUCAACCCCCGGACUGCUCUGGAAACUGGACGGCUGGAGUGCGGGAGAGGUAAGUGGAAUUCUUAGUGUAGCGGUGAAAUGCGUAGAUAUUAGGAGGAACACCAGUGGCGAAGGCGGCUUACUGGACCGUAACUGACGUUGAGGCUCGAAAGCGUGGGGAGCAAACAGGAUUAGAUACCCUAGUAGUC